GAUGAACGCUAGCGGCAGGCUUAAUACAUGCAAGUCGAGGGGCAGCAUGAUUGUAGCAAUACAAUUGAUGGCGACCGGCAAACGGGUGCGGAACACGUACACAACCUUCCAACAAGUGGGGGAUAGCCCAGAGAAAUUUGGAUUAAUACCCCGUAACAUAGCGAUGUGGCAUCACAUUGCUAUUAUAGAUUUUUCGCUUGUUGAUGGGUGUGCGGCUGAUUAGAUAGUUGGCGGGGUAACGGCCCACCAAGUCUACGAUCAGUAGCUGAUGUGAGAGCAUGAUCAGCCACACGGGCACUGAGACACGGGCCCGACUCCUACGGGAGGCAGCAGUAAGGAAUAUUGGACAAUGGACGCAAGUCUGAUCCAGCCAUGCCGCGUGAAGGAUUAAGGUCCUCUGGAUUGUAAACUUCUUUUAUAAGGGACGAAAAAAGGCUUUUCUAAGUCGUCUGACGGUACCUAAUGAAUAAGCACCGGCUAACUCCGUGCCAGCCGCCGCAGUAAGAC
rnacentral:rRNA from 1 species